CAUACUCCCGUUUGGUCAUUUCAUCCUCCCAUUUAUUGAAAUUGUUGGGGAGAGGAGAGGAAAAGAAAGGAGAAGAAGGAGAGGAAGAAGAGAAGAAGAAGAAGGAGAAGGAGAAAAAGGCUGGUUCUUGGAGCUACUUGGGCUGCAAGCUGCUGCUGUCCUCCUGUUGCUGUUCUCCUCCUACUGUAGCUAGGUGGUGUUGCUGUUGUAGAGUAGAUGAUGGUGCAAGCAAAGGAGCUGCUGUGCAUGGCUGCUGUCCAAGCUUGGAUCAAGCAAGCUGAGAGGUGCAAGAGCUGUCCAAGCUGAAAUUCUGCUACAAAUAUUGUGUUACUGCAGUCCAAAUUUGGUUUCAGCUGAGUUACUACUGCACCUGCUGUUGUGCAACUGCUGUACUUGUCCAGAGAGGACCCAAAUUACCCGGUGAGGAUACGCAGUGAUGGGAAUUCAAUGGUAACAAUCGGAUUUCGGGUUUUAAGAUGGUGGAACUGUUGCUGAGCCAAGAUUUGGAUUUCAAUGCUGUUGGGAGGCUUAUGUUUGCGAAGCACAUGGAUGCUGAUGGUUGUCACUUCACUAUUUUUUAUGUAAAUAUUUUUGAAUUGUGUAAGAUGUAAUUAUUAUACCUGUGGGUUAAUGUCAUUGGGCCUGUAUUAAUAUAUAUAACAUCGUGAAUCACUAGUGAUAUGUAUUAUUUCUGAUUUUUUAUAUGUACUCUGAUUUUAGUUA